GACGUAGGGCGCGAGCGUUGUCCGGAUUUAUUGGGCGUAAAGAGCUCGUAGGCGGCUUGUCGCGUCGUCCGUGAAAACCUGCAGCUCAACUGCAGGCUUGCGGUCGAUACGGGCAGGCUGGAGUUCGGUAGGGGAGACUGGAAUUCCUGGUGUAGCGGUGAAAUGCGCAGAUAUCAGGAGGAACACCGGUGGCGAAGGCGGGUCUCUGGGCCGAUACUGACGCUGAGGCGCGAAAGCUAGGGGAGCGAACGGG
rnacentral:rRNA from 1 species